rnacentral:rRNA from 1 species
UACAGAGGUGGCAAGCGUUGUUCGGAAUUACUGGGCGUAAAGGGCGCGUAGGCGGUUCGGUAAGUCCUGUGUGAAAUCCCUCGGCUCAACUGAGGAACUGCACGGGAGACUGCCGGGCUUGAGGACUGGAGAGGAGACUGGAAUUUACGGUGUAGCGGUGAAAUGCGUAGAUAUCGUAAGGAAGACCAGUGGCGAAGGCGGGUCUCUGGACAGUUCCUGACGCUGAGGCACGAAGGUCAGGGGGAGCAAACGGG